GUGCUCGCUUCAGCAGCACAUAUACUAAAACUGGAACAAUACAGAGAAGAUUAGCAUGGCCCCUGUGCAAGGAUGACAUGCAAAUUCAUGAAGCAUUCCAUAUUUUU
rnacentral:snRNA from 1 species